rnacentral:tRNA from 1 species
CGCGGCGUGGAGCAGUGGCGGCUCGUCGGGCUCAUAACCCGAAGGUCGCAGGUUCGAAUCCUGCCGCCGCUACCA